rnacentral:rRNA from 1 species
CCUACGGGAGGCAGCAGUGAGGAAUAUUGGUCAAUGGACGAGAGUCUGAACCAGCCAAGUAGCGUGAAGGAUGACUGCCCUAUGGGUUGUAAACUUCUUUUAUAAGGGAAUAAAACGAGGCACGUGUGCCUUUUUGCAUGUACUUUAUGAAUAAGGAUCGGCUAACUCCGUGCCAGCAGCCGCGGUAAUACGGAGGAUCCGAGCGUUAUCCGGAUUUAUUGGGUUUAAAGGGAGCGUAGAUGGGUUGUUAAGUCAGUUGUGAAAGUUUGCGGCUAAACCGUAAAAUUGCAAUUGAUACUGGGAGUCUUGAGUACAGUUGAGGUAGGCGGAAUUCGUGGUGUAGCGGUGAAAUGCUUAGAUAUCACGAAGAACCCCGAUUGCGAAGGCAGCUUACUAAACUGUGACUGACAUUGAUGCUCGAAAGUGUGGGUAUCAAACAGGAUUAGAUACCCUUGUAGUC